GUCUAUGGACUCGACUCUUGCACAUCUACGUCUUAGGUUUGCGCCAAUUCGUGGUAAGCUUGGGUCAUAGAGACUCAUAGGUGUUAUAAAGACUCGCUGGUGUUUGUCUCCUUGAGGCAUACGGCUUUAACCAAAACUCUCAAAGUUUGACCUCAAAUCAGGUAGGAGUACCCGCUGAACUUAAGCAUAUCAAUAAGCGGAGGAAAAGAAACCAACCGGGAUUGCCUUAGUAACGGCGAGUGAAGCGGCAAAAGCUCAAAUUUGAAAUCUGGCGUCUUCGACGUCCGAGUUGUAAUUUGAAGAAGGCGACUUUGUAGCUGGUCCUUGUCUAUGUUCCUUGGAACAGGACGUCAUAGAGGGUGAGAAUCCCGUGUGGCGAGGAUCCCAGUUAUUUGUAAAGUGCUUUCGACGAGUCGAGUUGUUUGGGAAUGCAGCUCUAAGUGGGUGGUAAAUUCCAUCUAAAGCUAAAUAUUGGCGAGAGACCGAUAGCGAACAAGUACAGUGAUGGAAAGAUGAAAAGAACUUUGAAAAGAGAGUGAAAAAGUACGUGAAAUUGUUGAAAGGGAAGGGCAUUUGAUCAGACAUGGCGUUUGCUUCGGCUUUCGCUGGGCCAGCAUCAGUUUUAGCGGUUGGAUAAAUCCUCGGGAAUGUGGCUCUGCUUCGGUAGAGUGUUAUAGCCCGUGGGAAUACAGCCAGCUGGGACUGAGGAUUGCGACUUUUGUCAAGGAUGCUGGCGUAAUGGUUAAAUGCCGCCCGUCUUGAAACACGGACCAAGGAGUCUAACGUCUAUGCGAGUGUUUGGGUGUAAAACCCGUACGCGUAA
rnacentral:rRNA from 1 species